rnacentral:misc_RNA from 1 species
UGGGCUUGACAUGUAGGUGUCCCGAAGGAAAGCCAUGUUUCCAUGGCGGUCACCUACAUGUCAAGCCCAGGUAAGGUUCUUCGCGUUGCGUCGAAUUAAACCACAUGCUCCGCUGCUUGUGCGGGCCCCCGUCAAUUCCUUUGAGUUUUAGCCUUGCGGCCGUACUCCCCAGGCGGGGCACUUAUUGCGUUAGCGACGGCACGGGAGGAGUCGACACCUCCCACACCUAGUGCCCAUCGUUUACGGCGUGGACUAC